rnacentral:rRNA from 1 species
UACGAGGGGUGCAAGCGUUAUUCGGAAUUAUUGGGCGUAAAGGGUGCGUAGACGGCUUAUCAAGUCAACUGUUAAAUUCUCCGGCCUAACUGGAGGCAAGCGGUAGAAACUGAUGAGCUUGAGGAUGGAAGAGAGAAGUGGAAUUCUCGGAGUAGCGGUAAAAUGCGUAGAUCUCGAGAGGAACACCGAUGGCGAAGGCAGCUUCUUGGUCCAUAUCUGACGUUGAGGCACGAAAGCGUGGGGAGCAAACAGG